UAUAAUAAUACACCUCCAAUAAGUAACCUUGAUGAAAUUAAUCACCUCACUUGUUCCAGCAACUCAAUUCCUCAAAGAGAUUGUACAACAAUAAGUCAUUUUAGAUGCUUUGCUUUUUUAAAGCGCUUAAGAUAGUUAUUUUGAUGUCUAUACUAUUUUGACAAAAAUUAAUAUUAGUACUUGUAUUCCUAAUCUUUAUAACAAGUGUAUUAAUAGCUAUAUAUUUUAGAUUAGAGUAUUAAUAGACAUAGAGAUAUGGUAGUUUGAACUCUCUCAACUUGUUUACGAAUUAAUACUUGUUGAUUUUUUUUUCUUUUUCUUUUCUUUUUGAUUAAUAGUACUUGUUGAUUUGACAACUAGCCAAUUGAUUUGAAGAAUAGUCAUUAUUAUAUCACCUAUUCAUUAUUUUGGAUAUGAUCAUAACUUUCAGUUCGGCUCACAUUCAUUUAUUUAACAACUAUUGAUUAAUAGUUCGGCUCGACAUGACCGUAUCAGUAUCUCCAAAUAUCAAUAUCGUUAUUCAUCAUUUUUAUACAUGUUAUUACUUUCUUUUACCUAGAGAUUUAGUUUGAAAACCGUGUUCUUUCAACUUUGAUCUUCAUCUGAUACAUCACAUUGCUCCAGUGGCUUAACAACUGCCGUGGGUCAGAAAAAUUAGGCUGUUUCUGGAAGAAAUACUACAAAAGAGGUUUGUGAAAAGUGAACGUGCUUUAGUUCCACAAUGGUUGAGAAGUAAUGGAAGUGUUACUAGUUCAACCCACCAUUUUGCAUCUUCAUCUAAUCACACUGAUACUCAUACUGUAGCUCACUCAAGGAAUAGGUCUUCUAAGACAACUAGUGAUUUUGAUAGUCCUCGUUCUGUGUUUCUUGAACGGGCAUUUUCGUCAUAUUCUCGGAGGGGCACUAUCAACGGCUCGGUAUGGUUACCAUUGAUACAUGUGGAAAGUAGUUGGAUUCAAUUGGACUAGAGAACACCGAAGCUAACCGUCAAGCAUGGCGUAAAAUUAUAUAUGAAGAAAGUGUUAUGAUUUAGUUAAAAUAUAAUUUUUAUGUGUAUGAUUUUAUAAUACUUGAAAUAUUAUGACUGUACAUGAUUUUGUAUACUUUUUGGUUAAUAUUAAAAAUAUUUUGACUUAGUUAAAAUA